GGAUGAACGGGUGGAUAUUCCCGUACCGGCAGCGAACCGCAAGAGCCGAACGGAUGAGUACUAACCUCCGGUCGCGUGGCGUCGUUCCCUUCGGGGUUCGGUGUCCGCGAUUGUUGGGAGCGUAGUCCUGGUAGGUUAGCGCACAGGGGUGACACGGAAUGGGAGCCGGCCGCGGAGGUGGUUUUCCGUGGUCAAGCACGCAGCCCGUCCCAUAGGCAAAUCCGUGGGACGUAUGGGGUGAGGUGCGAUGAUGGGCGCCUUUUGGCGCGAUAUCCGGUGGUCCAGGCCGUCGAGAAAAGCCUCGGCGCGAGGGGCGUUGCCGCCCGUACCCCAAACCGACACUGGUGGUCAGGUAGAGAAUACCAAGGCGAUCGAGCGAAUCCUGGUCAAGGAACUCGGCAAAUCACUCCCGUGCCUUCGGUAUAAGGGAGACCCCCGGACGUGAAGAGGCUUGCCCUCGGAGCGUCGGGGGGUGGCACAGACCAGGGGGUAGCGACUGUUUACCAAAAACACAGGUGCAUGCGAAGGCGCAAGCCGCUGUAUAUGCACUGACGCCUGCCCGGUGCCGGAAGGUUAAGAGGAUCCGUCAGCCCUCGGGUGAAGCGGUGAAUUCAAGCCCCGGUAAACGGCGGUGGUAACUAUAACCAUCCUAAGGUAGCGAAAUUCCUUGUCGGGUAAGUUCCGACCUGCACGAAUGGCGUAACGACUUCCCCACUGUCUCGACCAGGAGCUCGGCGAAAUUGCAGUACGAGUAAAGAUGCUCGUUAAGCGCAGAAGGACGAAAAGACCCCGGGACCUUUACUAUACCUUGGUAUUGGCGUUAGGCGCGGAUUGUGUAGCAUAGGCGGGAGGCUUCGAAGCGCGGGCGCCAGCCCGUGUGGAGCCGCAAGGUGAAAUACCGCUCUGUUCUCGUUUGACGUCUAACCUCGGCAAGUCAUCCUUGUCAGGGACAGUGCCUGGCGGGUAGUUUAACUGGGGCGGUUGCCUCCCAAAGAGUAACGGAGGCGCUCAAAGGUCCGCUCAGCCCGGUUGGCAAUCGGGUUUCGAGUGUAAUCGCACAAGCGGGCUUGACUGCGAGAGCGACGGUUCGAGCAGGGACGAAAGUCGGAGAUAGUGAUCCGGUGCCGGCGCACGGGCGCGGCAUCGCUCAACGGAUAAAAGGUACCCCGGGGAUAACAGGCUGAUCAUUCCCAAGAGUCCAUAUCGACGGGAUGGUUUGGCACCUCGAUGUCGGCUCGUCGCAUCCUGGGGCUGGAGCAGGUCCCAAGGGUUCGGCUGUUCGCCGAUUAAAGCGGCACGCGAGCUGGGUUCAGAACGUCGUGAGACAGUUUGGUCUCUAUCCUCUGCGCUCGUUGGAAUCCUGAGGAGGCCUGCCCAUAGUACGAGAGGACCUGGGUGGACGGACCUCUGGUAUGCCGGUUGUCGCGCCAGCGGCAUGGCCGGUUGGCUACGUUCGGGAGGGAUAACCGCUGAAAGCAUCUAAGCGGGAAGCCUGCUCCAAGAUUAGGAUUCCUUGGCACUUCGGUGCCUGUAGCCCGCAUGUGGAACACGUGUUCGAUAGGCCGGAGGUGGAAGCCCCGCGAGGGGUGGAGCCGACCGGUACUAACGGGCGAUCGCGGCACAUU
rnacentral:rRNA from 1 species